rnacentral:rRNA from 1 species
GAGCGAUUAAUGCGGGGUUGUAGGACCCGAAGUAUGAGUAUAAACUGAACUAGAACACAACUGGAAAGUUGGACCGAAGGAGGUGAUAGUCCUGUAUAGGCAAGGUUUAUAUGAGUUAGGGUAUCCUGAGUAGGGCGGGACCGGAGAAAUCCUGCUUGAAUUUGCCGGCACCAUCCGGUAAGGCUAAAAUACUACCAAGAGACCGAUAGUGAACCAGUACUGUGAAGGAAAGGUGAAAAGAACCCCGGGAAGGGGAGUGAAAAGAACCUGAAACCAUGCGCUUACAAGCGGUCGGAGUCUCGAAUUAUCGGGAUGACGGCGUGCCUUUUGCAUAAUGAUCCUACGAGUUACUCCUCACCGGCGAGCUUAAGUACUUCAGGUACGGAGGCGGAGCGAAAGCGAGUCUGAAUAGGGCGAGAGUCGGUGGGGGUAGACGCGAAACCAUGUGAUCUACCCAUGGGCAGGUUGAAGGUGCGAUAGUCUCGCACUGGAGGACCGAACCGGUAAACGUUGAAAAGUUUUCGGAUGACCUGUGGGUAGGGGUGAAAGG